rnacentral:rRNA from 1 species
GCAAGUCGAAUGAAUUUAGAUUCAUGGCAGACGAGGUAGGAACACGUGGGUACGUGCCCUAGAGUCAGGGAUAAUCCGUCGAAAGGCGGGAUAACACUUGAUAGUCCCUUCGGGGUAAAGAUUUAUCGCUCUAGGAACGGCCCGCGGUCUAUCAGCUUGAUGGUAAGGUAACGGCUUACCAUGGCUACGACGGAUAGGGGGGGUGAGAGCCUGACC